GUUCUUAACACAAAAUUGAAAGUGGUAUUCCAGUUAACUCGUGAAUGAUAAAAAGGGUGAGACACCCUUAUUGCUGAUAUGGACAAAGUUUUAGUGGUCUGAAUAGAAGAUCAAACUAGUUACAACAUUCCCUUAAGCCAAAGCCUAAUCCAGAGCAAGGCCCUAAAUUUCUUUAAUUUUAUAAAGACCAAGAGAGGUGAGGAAGCUGUAAUAUCUUGAAUAUUGCAGAAGUUGGAUCAUGAGGGUUAAGGACAGAAGCUGUCUCAACAACAUAAAAGUAUAAGGUGAAGCAUCAAGUGCUGAUGUAGUGGCUGUAGCAAGUUACUGAAAAGAUCAAGCUAAGAAAAUCAAUGAAGGUGGCUACAAUAAAUAACACAUUUUCAAUGUAGAUGAAACAGCCUUAUAUUGCAAGAAGAUGCCAUCUAAUACUUUCAUAACUAGAGAGAAGUUGAUUCCUAUCUUCAAAGCUAAUAUAAGUGGUGACUUUGCAUUGAAGACAAUGCUCCUUUUCCAUUCUGAAAAUCCUAGGUUCCUUAAGAAUUAUACUAAAUUUCCUCAGCCUGCGCUCUAUAAAUGAAACUACAAAGCCUGGAUGACAGUGCAUCUGUUUACAACAUGGUUUUCUGAAUGACAUAAGCCCACUGUUGAGACCUACUGCUUGGAAAAAAAAUUCCUGUCAAAAUGUUGCUGCUCAUUGAAAAUGCCCAAGAGCUGUGAUAGAGACCUACAUUGAGGUUAAUGUUGUUUUCAGGCCUGAUAACAUGACAUUCAUUCUGUGGCCCAUGGGUUAGGGAGUCAUUUCAAAUUUAUUUAAGAAAUAAAUUAUGUGAGGCUAUAGCUGCCAUUGGUAGUGAUUCUGCUGAUGACCCUGGGGAACGUAAAUUGAAAACACUCUGGAAAGGAUUCAUCAUUCUAAAUGCCAUUAAGAACAUCCAUGAUUCAUGGGUGGAGGUCAAGAUAUCAACAUUAACUGAGGUUUGGAAGAAGUUGAUUCCAACCACCAUGGAUGACUGUGAGAGAGGUUCAAGACUCCAUGGAGAAAGUAACUAGUGGAAAUAGUAAGAGAUAGAGUUAGAUGUGAAGCCUGAAGAUAUGAUUGAAUUGCUGUCGUCUGAUGAUAAAACAUUAUUGUUUGAGGAAUGUCUUCUUAUGGCUCUGAACAGGAACUUGUUUCUUGAGAUGGAAUCUAUUCCUGGUGAAGAUGCUAUGAAUAUUGUUGAAAUUGUGUUAGAAGACAUACAAUAUUUCAAAAAUUGAGUUGACAAAACAGUGUUAGGGUUUGAGAGGAUUGACUCCAAUUUUGAAAGAAGGUCUCUGGAUAAACGUCUAAAAAACAGCAUUGUCUGCCACAGAGACGUAUUUCAUGAGAGGAAAAGUCAAAAAUUUCAUUGUUGUCUUAUUUUAAUAAAUUACUAUAGGCACCCCAACUCCAGCCUUCACCACCCUGAUCAAAAGCCAUCAACAUCCAGGCAAAACACACCAGGAGCAUUAAGAUUAGGACUCAUUGAAGGCCCAGAUGAUCAUUAGUCUUUUAUUUUUAUUAACAUAAAGUAUUUCCAAAUUAAGAUUUGUGCAUUUUUUUUCCAGACUUAAUGCCAUUGCACAGGUUUCAGAGUAUAGUAUAGUGUAAAUGUAAGCUUUAUAUGCACUGGGAAACUAAAAUAUCUUGUACUUAUUGCUAUAUUUGUUUUAUGCAGUGAUCUGGAAUCAAACAUGCGAUAGCAUGGAUAUAUGCCUCUAUUUUACUUUUGCAAACUUUAAAAGAAAUUAGACUUGUUAAUAAAUUAUUAAGUCCCCAAAAUACUUUAGAAGAGGCCAGUGAAAGUGAAAGACCCUAAAAUUUGAAGCUUUAUUAGUUUCAUGGUAGAUCCACUUCAGGAUGAUUGUUGUAGGAACAAAUCUAAAAUUCUUAGAAAGUCCUAGUGAGAAUACUUGAGAAUAAUGACUGACAUGC
rnacentral:lncRNA from 1 species